AACUUUCAGCAACGGAUCUCUUGGCUCUCGCAUCGAUGAAGAACGCAGCGAAAUGCGAUAAGUAAUGUGAAUUGCAGAAUUCAGUGAAUCAUCGAAUCUUUGAACGCACCUUGCGCUCCUUGGUAUUCCUUGGAGCAUGCCUGUUUGAGUAUCA
rnacentral:rRNA from 2 species